GACGAACGCUGGCGGCGUGCUUAACACAUGCAAGUCGAACGGAAAGGCCCUGCUUUUGUGGGGUGCUCGAGUGGCGAACGGGUGAGUAACACGUGAGUAACCUGCCCUUGACUUUGGGAUAACUUCAGGAAACUGGGGCUAAUACCGGAUAGGAGCUCCUGCUGCAUGGUGGGGGUUGGAAAGUUUCGGCGGUUGGGGAUGGACUCGCGGCUUAUCAGCUUGUUGGUGGGGUAGUGGCUUACCAAGGCUUUGACGGGUAGCCGGCCUGAGAGGGUGACCGGCCAAAUGGGGCGUGAGGUACGGCCCAGACCCCUGGGGGGGGGAGGGGGGGGGAAUUUUGCCAAAGGGGCGGAAGGCUGAUGGAGCAACGCCGGGUGGGGGAGGAGGGCCUUCGGGUGGUAACCCGCUUUCGCCUGUAACGAAGGGGGGGUGAGGGUAAUGGGGAAAAAAGCACGGGCAACUUAGGG
rnacentral:rRNA from 1 species